rnacentral:misc_RNA from 1 species
AGAGAUACAAGCAAACCUAAGGGAUGGCAAAUGCUUUGCAGAUACCACAUAAGGUCAAGGGAAAGAGCUCAAAAGGUUCUUAAUCUUUCCAAGGUCCCUUUCCAAAGGAAACAUUUCAACACUAAUUCAAAAUAAGAUCAGUUCCAAUGAAUUACAAAAGGUAUUAUGUCCAUGACUAAAUGGUUUCACAUAUAAAACUACCAGGAUGAUCAUAAAAUAUUUGGCAUCAAAUCUUCCUCAUUU